CGCACAUUGCGCCCCUUGGUAUUCCGGGGGGCAUGCCUGUUCGAGCGUCAUAUAACAAAAUUCAAGCCUAGCUUGGUAUUGAGCCUUUGACAAGACUUCGGGCUCCAAAUGCGUCGGCUAUAAAUUAAAUUAGUAAAUAGGGAGUGCUAUAGCAUGGUGCCGUGAAUAUCGACAAAUAUACACGUGGUACGGAGUUUGUAGGCCCUUGCCUUUCUGCGUUCGCAUCGGUAACUCAGACCGAACAUAAGUUUGACCUCGGAUCGGGUAGGAAUACCCGCUGAACUUAA
rnacentral:misc_RNA from 1 species